CUUACUAUCUUGAACCACUCUCCUGCUGCAGGAUGCUGCCCCUUCAGAUUGGUUGGCAAGGAACUGAAAAUAUCUCAGAAAGCAACCGCCCAGGCAGUUCAGACAUCAAAAGAGAUAAUAACUCCCAACAGGCAACGGUGAGAUGCAGGACAGCUCAGCCAACAAGGCAGUGGAAUCAGUGGCUUUGGUAGGACACUUGCUGCCCAAAGCAGUGUCCCAGAAACAAAAAUAUCUUUGGAGUCCAGUUUGGAUGUGAGAAGAGAGACCUGUACUUUACCCACUCCUCUUAGAAUUCUGGCAUUUUUGUGAAUGAUUUGACAUAAAAACUAAGGAAGAUGUGAAGACUCAUCAGCUACCUUCUAUAACUAGACUGCAUAGCAUCGCAGAAAUUUUCCUUUCCCAUGGAUUGCACAGAGUGGAGAAGUGUGUUAUGUGGCUGGACAGAAAAAUCUUCAAGAAAGUGAAUAUUCCCAUCAAACAGACAUGCAGAUAAUUUAA